rnacentral:rRNA from 1 species
GACGAACGCUGGCGGCGUGCUUAACACAUGCAAGUCGAACGAUGAAGCCGGAGCUUGCUCUGGUGAAUUAGUGGCGAACGGGUGAGUAACACGUGAGUAACCUGCCCUUGACUCUGGGAUAACUGCUAGAAAUGGUAGCUAAUACCGGAUACGACCCUCGGAGGCAUCUCCAGGGGGUGGAAAGAAUUUCGGUCAAGGAUGGACUCGCGGCCUAUCAGCUAGUUGGUGAGGUAACGGCCCACCAAGGCGACGACGGGUAGCCGGCCUGGGAGGGGCACCGCCCACCCGGGGACGGAGACCGGGCCCAGCCUCCACGGGGGGGCGGAGGGGGGGAAUAUUGCAAAAUGGGCGCAAGCCUGAUGAAGCACCGCCGCGUGAGGGAUGACGCCCUUCGGGUUGUAAACCUCUUUUAGUAGGGAAGAAGCGAAAGUGACGGUACCUGCAGAAAAAGCACCGGCUAACUACGUGCCAGCCGCCGCAGUAA